UUAUUUUAUAAAUAUUUUUGUUAUUUUAUAGUUACUAGUACUUGUUUUGACUAUCUGUGUAUAUAAUGUCAAUCGUUACAUUCGAAAUACAUCUUGAAUUGGAUCUCUUUCUUCACUUGUUGUUCUGUCAUAACGCAGAUACAAUUUGGGAUAGCUGUAACAUGUGGACAAUAUAUUUAAGGAAAAUAUAUAGAUCGUUCGUCAAUAAUAUUUUUAUAAAGACUUCUAACGUCCGUCAUUGUAAAAACGUAUUAGUGAAUAUGAAAAAAUUAGCAAAUUAUUUAAAACAAUUGUUGAUACAGAACUAUUAUAAAAACCUAUUAUAAAAGAUUAUAUAUUAUUGUAUAAUAUUCUAUUAUUACAAGUAAAACGCAUCACAAAAGAGCACAACUCACUGUCAGUAUUAACUGGAAAGAAUACGAAAGCAAACUCUAUCCACUUGCGCCCUCUGUGUAAAGAACAUUCUAAAAAGAUAGAAAAGCACAGCGCCUCGGUAGCGCAGUAGGCAGCGCGAGAACAUUUUUUAUUUCGUCAUCAGCGUUUUCAAUUCUUGCAGAGGAAGAUGGACAAAAGUUACAUCAAUGUCAUCUAUGAUUUAAUAGAGAAUGAAAAUCGAUGAAAAUAACUUCGUCGUAGCGGAAAAAAAUCAACAUAGCGUUUCUUCCGCAAGAAAGAUGACGCAGAGAAAGGGAUAGUAGAUAUGGAGUGGAUAUUUCGAAGGAAAUAGAGAAAGAAGUGUUCGAGUUAGGCAGGAGCUAUUUGGUGAUUCAAAACGAUAUUUAAGUUAUGAUAUCGUACGCGUUAGAGUGGACAGCCGUGUACGUAUGUGACGUUUCGAAAAAGUGCAGCCGCCGUCGAAAGGAACGCUGCCGUGGAUGCCGUGGAUGGAGCUGGUGGUGGUGGUGGCGGAGGUGCAUGAUUUGUCACUUGUGUUUGUGCAUUGUAAGACGGACAAUAGGCGUCUAUGCUACCAUGAUGAAGACCGACGCCUCGUACAAGGAGCUCUUUUUCUACCGUGGCUUGAUGACGAAGUUGUUCGAGUCGUAACUGAUUCUGUCUCUUCCACUUCGUUCUGGAACAAGUAAGCAAGUUGAGCAUGUGUAAAAGCCGUUCGUCUUCUUCGUGGCUUUCUUCCACUAGGUGGACCACUAGGAGUUCCGCAAGAUUUACCAGACGUUGUCGGACCUGGUGGAGGCGAGAGAACAGGUGGUGGACUUCCUAGUCGAGUGCAAGGACUACUGCCAGGAUCGAUUGUAUCUUCGGAAUCCGAAUGAACGGCCGAAUCAUCUUCGGAAUCUUCUAUUCGACUCAACGGUGAAAGCCUAUUAUCGAGACAAUGCCGAACGAAUCGAAAUCGAUUUAUUAUCCUCCCUAGUUCAUGGUAAACGAUCUCAAUCAAGAUCCUGUGGUGUCGUACAACGAUUGACCAAUAAAACUGGGAAACGCUGUGGGACAGAGUAACCGACGGCAAAAAUUUGUGGACUAACGAAUCCUAACGAGUCACUUCGCACCUAAAACCAUCUGUAGGAUCACCCUUAACAGGGUGACACCCUGUAGGGUGGAUCGUCGUUCCUCGGACCCCGUAUAGUGGAUAAAAAUAAUAGAAGAGUCCUUGGGGGGUAUCUUUUAACGAGAAUCCCGACGGUAGUGCACGCGACCGACUCGUGUUUCGUAUAUAAAACACUAAUAAUCUAUCAAAAUUCAUUUCUUUUUUAUUGAUUGUUAAAUCUUUAAUAUGUCUUCGAUCAUUCGAGAAAUCAAUAUCACCUACCUUGAACUCUAUCCGCCAGAACGUCGCCCAAAAGAUCUCUUAUCAAAAAGGACUUGUGUUCUUGCAUCAUCGUCACUGAUGAAUCGAUGCAAACCAGUUUUAAAAACUAAACAAGAUCACUCGAGUAUAAGAAUUGUUUACUUUCCGUAUCCGCGUUAUCACCGAUUAUUCUAAGGAGCCGACUUUCAUGCUAUCGUACGGACGCUCGGCAUCGUUCUGCGUCGACCGCGAGCACGGGGAUGACCGGAUGUAUCUGGCCGACGUUCCACUGUCGUCAUCGUCCUAGACAUUCUUGUCGUCUUCGUCGUCGUAGCCACGUUGUGGGUGAAGGCGAGUCGUUGUAGGAGGCGGAGGCUUACUCGAUGAAGUUUGGAUACGAGGGUGAGGGGUACUACAGCAUUCAUCGUCUCUCCAACUAUAUCUUUCCCAAGCCCUGCCACCCCUUCGAAUUAAUCCGCCCGUUUAUUUUGAACGGGCAGCCUAAUGCCCGCGCGAUUUCGCAGCCAUUUUGGGGGUGGAGGCGCCUUCCGCAAGCCCCGCGCAUUCUCUUAAAAACAGUUCGCAUGGCUCUUGCCAUUGGUCGGUAGUACGGACGAGUGAGGGACGAAAAGUGUCUUCCGAGAGAUGCUAUUGGGCGGAUAAACGCACCCUGCGCGAGAGAAGGUUGGUUCUCUCCCUCCAUCAUCUUUUAUCCCUUCUAUACCUAUCGUUUCGCUUUCCUUUUGUAUGCAUUCAGACGAGAACACAAGGUAUAUAAUAGGGCUCGCACGAGUUGGUAAGGUAAGGACUACCAAACGUAGAGCCGCGUCGACUAACGGAGGUGGACUGAUAGGGGAGGAAGUAAUUGGCAAGCGAUUACCGUAGAAGGAGAGGAGCAAAUUGGAUGUGAAACGUUUCUGUAGCUUUAUUAUGAUGCAGUCUUGUUCUAUCUGAAUUUCAAACUUAUCUCCUGACUUUCUCUCUUUUUACCGUCGCUCAACUCUUUCAAAUUUAAAGAGAUAGUCACUACGCGAGGAAGAAAUCAAUAUUUCAUCUAUGUCAAUUCAUAAUUUAAGAAGAAGAGAUUAUCACCAAUCAUAAAAAUGGUAUAAAAUCAUAUCAUCUUAUAAAUUUUUUUUAUUAUACACGUAACCGUAUCGAUAACUCGAGUUGAAUAUUUAACGUUUUCUGUUUUAGAAUAACUCAAAUUGCGAUGAUAUCGUUACGAAGUUGAUUUAUUUGCAUAGACCUCGAGAAAGGAUAACGUUAGGAGUGCCAAAUGUAGGAGAGAUAGAUGUGCACCAUAUUUACAUAAAUACAUCCCUCGCUGUUUGGAAUUUCCUACCUUUCGUAUCUCCCCUUGCCCUUUGGAGGGGUAGUUUGUGAGCGUAAAUAUGCAUGAUGCAUGCACUCACAAAUCCUCAAACCGCCUACUUUCUCAGCCGCCUCCAUGCUUCCACUAUUUCUCUCGCGGCCCUGGACUCAACAGUACCCUGUUAGUCUAUUCACUGCACUACACUACUUAACUUUUGUAAGCACCUACACAUAGUACAUAUUUACAUAGAUGUACUCUCGUAUAUGUAUUUUAUAUUUUACGAAAUCGCAUUCAGUAGAAACGAUAAAAUACGAAAAUAUAACGAUAAAAUCAACAACGCGGAUAUACAUAGAUAGAUAUAUAUCAAAUUUAUUGAUUAUUUAACGUCGUAUUGACUUACUCUACUUGUCUGUUAUCAUCACAUAUAUACAUUUUUAUUAAAAAUUCACACUUACAAAAGAUCUUUCUUUCUGAAAUCAAAUCUUCCUCAAAAAUAUUUGUUUCAAUUAUUCUUUAUACGACAUUGUUAUACCAUAUCGACACCUGUAAAGUCCUCUUUAUGAUGUCGAGCAGUGAAUGCGAUGGAUCGGAACGCCUUUCUGAAUUCAUUAGGAUUAACAUAUGCAGGAGAUUAAUUCAAGGGGCGGCAAAGCGGCUAGGCGUCUUCUUACCGGGCGCAGAAAAGGGCGCCGAGAACACUGAAAAGAGGGGAAUAAAUGAAUGAUAGAAGACGGAAUGAGAGUUGAGUAACGUCAAAAAUAAAAAAACAAAGGGCAUCUCUGUUAUCGUUGAAAAGCUAUAUCGUUUAUCGUCAAUGUGUUAUUUAGAAUAAUUUACAGAUUAAUUAUUGAAUUAAUGUGGGAUAUUAUUUUCAUUAAAAUAAAUAAUCAAUGAUAGUGUUUUUCAAAGGAAUAAUAUUUAAUUUUUU